GGAGGAUCAGGGAGAGCCGCGGAAAGACUUUACGGUGGAUGACUUAAGUCAAGGCCAGAUGAUGAGGUGUCCUCGGACUGGCUGCCCGCGGCUCUGGUUGGCUGACCACAGGUUCCUGGAUCCUGGCUCUCAUUUCUGGGAAACAGAAACUUAGGCCUAGUCUCCCAAACGGCCAGUUUGCAGCUGUCAUGGAGUCAGUCUGGCUCUCCUGACCUGGUGUUCCCAUUUCCCCUUCUGAUUUGCAACUGGAUCAAAUCAUUGAUUUGUCAGGGUUUUUUUUCCCUCCAAUCUUUUUCUUCCCACCUUGUCACUUGUCAGGGGCAGAAGUCGUUAUUAUUGAGAACAGUUACUGCCAAGCAAGUUUUCAUAUGGGAACAGUAAAAAGCCACAUCUGAAACCUGUCUAUACCUUAAUUUGAUGGCUAUUAGUAAAGCAAGCCUGUCUGCCGUUUUCGAAACAAGAAACCUAGCAGUUUAACCCGAUAAGUUAACCAAUGAACUAACGUCGUGGUGGAUUGUUUUGACAUAAGGAGCUAGUUGCCUGUAUGUCACUGCCCAGACAGUUGCUUGGGGCUCCUGCGUCUCUAUGGCACCGAGGGCAGAGGCAGCCUUUGGCCAUCAGCCCCAGAAGACGAAGAGGCUUUUCCUGCAGAGGAGGAACAUGGGAGACUGGCCUAUCCUUGUCUACAGCACCGUGUGGCGAUCAGUUCUGCCCUCCAUCCACAGCUCAGGCCAGGUCUUGGCAGCAGCAGGCAAGACAUCAGGACAGUUAUGCCCAGUGGUUAUCAUACCACCAUCCAGGUGGUGUCCUCUGCCAUUGUGCCCACCAAUUUUCAGAGACCUCGGUGAGUCGCCGGUGGGAUUUGGGAGUCUCUGUCCGUCACGGUAAGUUUAAACAUGUUCAAUGCUACAUUCCGUAGACCUCUAACAGGCUUGAUGGAUAGCCAGUAUUGACCUACCUCGUAGGUAUCUGAGCGAAACAAGUUGUCUGUUACCUUGCAAACAUAAAGCAGGAGACUAAAUAAAGCUUUAAUUUAUGAUGAACCUCAUCGGUUUUCAGCCUAUCAAUCGAUCCCUGUUAAAUCUGAGCCUUGAAAGUCAGUUUUGAAUUGAAGUUCUUCUUCUAUUAUUAAAAUAAAACUUCUUAACCCAAAAACCUAUUUCAUAAGGAAACGUAAACAACAGAAUAUUAUAGUUUUCUGUAUGAUUCAGUUUCAGCUGAGACCAGUUUCGGGACAGGAAACAGUUAAAAGGUUGGGGCUGAGAAAACUCAAGGCUCUCUGGGCUGCUGGAGCCCUGAUGGAGGAGCUCAGGCAAACUGAAAGGAAGGCACUGGGGGUGGAUUCCAAGAGCCACUGAUUCUUAACCUUUUUAAUUUUUGAGUAUUUUUUUAAUUAUCAAAUUAUUUAGUUUCAGAAAAUGAAGCCUCAAGGAAUAAAGCCUUCAGGAAUGUAUAUCUAGGUAUAUCUGUUAACAUUGUGUGUUGCAAUUAAUCUUGUACUCAUCAGUAAACUGUGGCUGUGGCAGCCCUGAAGAUGAACAGCUCCCUGCUGAAGCUGCAGUAACCACUCUGACUCGGGACCCUCAUUUUUCGUGUGGCGGAUUUUCUCAGGG
rnacentral:lncRNA from 1 species